rfam:Ficedula albicollis isolate OC2 linkage group LGE22, whole genome shotgun sequence.
CUGGCCCUGAAUCAAGGCCAUCGGUUUGCUGUAGCCGUUGGUUUCAAACAGGAGCCCAGAGGAAACGUCUCCCGGUCUGUUGGUGCUCCCGUGCCAUGGAACAGCCAAUUCGUGUGGGAGCAACAAAG